rnacentral:lncRNA from 1 species
CCAAAAUAAAAAGAAAAUCUAUACUCAAUUAAUUUAUACAAUCAUUUUUAAAUUAUGAAAUCGGUUGUAUAAGUAAUCAAACAACUUAGAACACAUAUCGGCAAAAAAGAAGUUAUAUAUAUAUAUAUAUAUACAUCCGAAAAUCUGAAGAAAGAAAGAAAAGGGAAAUUCUUUGACAAACAAAGAUUGCAGUUCAUUUGUUGUCACGAGUACAGCUUAUACGCGAAAAUAGACAGAGAGAAACUUAUUUUUUCUUCAGCAAUCAGUUAAUACUAAAUUGCUGUAGCAAGCAAACAACAACCGCAAAUACGUACAUAGGUGGUUUUCAAAGACCUUUUUUUAUUUUAUGGAUAUAGGAAGAUAUGCAAACACCCUAGUUAACGCCAUAUCCUUGUUUGACAGCAUAUUUGACAAGCUCUUCUAGCUCGUCUAAACCGAUGGAUCCAUCUCCGUUUGCAUCGGCAUGGUGCAAUGAACGACGAACUCGCCAGCCAGGGUUGCGGGAACCCAGUUUUUGGAAAGCUUUCAACAACUCCUCCUUGCUUAGACGACCGUCCCCGUUGGUGUCAUGUUCUUUGAAGAUAGCCUUCAAUUGCCCUUCAGUUAGGGUAAGAUUUAUGGAUUUUGGCACGUAAAGGGGCAUGUUAGGCAAAGGGGCAGAGGUUUUGGAGCUUUGGAUAUAUGAAAGAUACUAGCUACUUCAGUUUGCUAUAUGAUCAUCAAAAGGGUUAUCCGACACAUCGAUUUAUAUAGAAGUUCUUUGAUUACCAUACUUCACCACUUUCUCCUAUAUGUUAUUCUAUCUAUCUUUUUCUUUCUCUAAUUUCCCUUUCAUAUUCUUAUUCUCUUCCUUUUAUGGUGCGCAUGACAAAAAAAUUUAAAGAUUAAUAUUCACAAGUGCUAAGAAAAGACAUCCACAGGAUAGCAUCCAUGUUUAUUUGAAUUGCAUGAGUUUUAUUCCUACUUAUCAAGAAGCUUUUGAGUGGGACCACAAAUAGUUAAGAGACAAAACUUACAUAAAUUUUUUAAAAUGAAAUUUACGAAAAUUUUAAAAAAUAAUUUAAUAAAAACUUUUAAAAAAAUUUGAAUCAUUUCUCUAUUUGUAUGAGUCUAUUUUUCCAGGAGGGAUUAUGCUCAAUUUUUUUUUAUAUCAUUUGAAUUUUAUGGAGGUCCACGAAAUGAUUAAUUUUUGUGAUUUUACUUUCUUACUAAUACUAUUUUUAACUAGCGAGAUUUAUCUUUAAUAAAUAUUUUGUUUUCUUUCUUUGUUACAUUAAGCAUAAUAAAACUUAUAUACUGUUUUUUUUUUUUUUAAGGAAGUUAUGCACUACACUAAUUUUUUUUUUAACAGAAUAAAACUCAUUAAUAGAGCACAUGAUAGUAGUGGAAAAAACGAGGAACUCUACUAUUGCGUAAAGAAAAAAGAUAUAAAUUAUUAAUUAAAUAAAAGCUAAUGAUUCUUUCAAAAAAAAUAAAGGCUAAUAAUUAGUAUAAUUCAAAUUAUGACGUUGGUGGUUGACGUAAGUGCAACUGCAUCAUUUGAUGUCAUUAAUGCUAAUGGUGUAACUGCAUCAGUAAUGCUAUUUUAAUUGGUUUAUUUUGCCAUUUACAAAAUAUGGGAUUCAAUAUAUUUGAAAUUUAAUUUUAAAUUUAUAUCUUCUUUUCAUUGGUAUCCAAUCCUUGGUCGAAAAAUACUAUGGAAAGCUGAAGAAUGUAAAAUGCCCUUCUGAAUAAUAGAGAAGCUCAAUAGAGUCAAUAAUGAGAAAUCAGGCCUUAGUUAUACAUUUUAUGUAUUUUUCAAUAAUGAGAUAAGGCUUUUUACAUGCUUUUAAGUUUCGGAGAUCUAUUCUGCUAGUGGUCUUUCAAAAAUUUUUAUCUGAAGUACCCAAAUUAAAUAAUAAAAUAUGCAAAAUAUGUGGCUAAUGAAUCUCAUGAUCAUUGGUUAAGGUUUGUAUUAAUUAAUCUUUAAUCAUUUUGAUCACUACCUACAUGUUGAAAUACAAAAUACAUGAGAAGGAGUACGAAAACAUCUUAUAUUAGUGGCAUUUCAAGCAAAUUAAGAGGCAAGAGGGCUAUAGGCCUCAAACAUUAGGAGAGAAACUGAAACUAAAACACUUGAAGACAUAAAACAUGCAUGUGAUUAUUCUACUUGAUUUUGUAUCCAAUUCUAGCAGCAUAUGCGAUAAGGUCGUUGAGCUCCUCCAUGCUGAUGCAUCCAUCGUUGUUGAAAUCAGCAUGCUGGAGUGCUCUCCAUGCUCUAUAAGCAGGGAAAUAGGCACCCAACUGAUCAAAUGCAAGUUUUAUCUCUUCCCUGCUCAGGACUUUGUUGCCAUCAAUGUCGCAAUCAAGGAAAAUUUUCCGAAUCUGAUCCUCAUCAUAGUUGAUCGGUGCAACUUUUCCCGUGCCAUAGUAAUAAACUGGCAUUUCGUUUAAAGGAUUUUGAACUGUUUCUCGAAAAGAAACGUACACUAAAGUUUUAGAAGGAUUUUGGGCUGUGCCUGUGUAUGAUCCUGAAAAUAUGGAGGGCUGGGCAUAUAUAGAUCCUAGCUUGAUAUUACAUUUUGCAACUACUAUAUUAUUUAUUCCUACUUAUCAAGAAGGAUUUGGGUAGGGCCAGAAGUUAUAUUGGUAGAGUGGAAUCUGAAAUUUGAUGCUUCCACUUCAUUUUCAUGAUAAGGUUCGACAUCUUAUUCCUCAUUCGGCAGGAACGCGAGGAUCCAACUUUGACAGAGUGGGAUCGCUUUGCGCAUAGGGAGUAUAUCAGGCUUUCAAUGGAAGAAGAUCCGAAGAUGCCUCUAAUGGAAGUGCUGAAGUAUGGGAUAAGUCCCUUGAAGCUCCAUUUAAGGCUCCUUAGGUGAGUUUUGUAGGACCUUGUCAAACAUAUUUGAGGUCAAUGGAGAAAGACUGGCUACAUGGAGAUACUGGAGAUGGUGCCUAUCGGCAAAGUUGAUCCGCCAAAAUAUCAAGUUGGGCCAGAUAGCAUUUACGCUCAUAUUUCACCAGCAGGCUAUUUGCUUGCCGCAUACUGCGUUGCACUUAAGUUUGGCAAUGAAAUUUCUCCAGUCGGGAAAGCCAAUUGCUUCUUUUGAAGGGGAUGAUCCCUGGCCGUAAAUUAACAUCACCCAGGUAUCAACAGUCUGUUACUGUGUUAAAGGUCUUUGUUUUAUUAAUUAGUUAGACAACCAAAUAUUCAUUCGAAAGAUCAGAAGAAAGAAAGAAAAAAAGGGGAAAUUCUUUGACAAACAAAGAUUAUAAUUCAUUGUUGUUAUGAGUACAGCUUAUACGCGAAAACAAACAGAAAGAAACUUGUCUUUUUUUCAGCAAUCAGUUAAUACGAAACUGCAGUAGCAAGCCAACAACAAGCGCAAAUAUGUUCAUAGGUAAUUUUCAUAUAGACCUUUUUUUAUUGUACGGACAUAGGAAAUAUGCAAACACCCUAGUUGACGUGAUAUCCUUGUUUGACGGCAUAUUUGACAAGCUCGUCCAGCUCGUCUAAUCCGAUGGAUCCAUCUCUGUUUGUAUCGGCAUGGUGGAGUGAACGACUUACUCGCCAGCCUGGGUUGCGGGAACCAAGUUUUUGGAAAGCUUUCAACAACUCCUCCUUGCUUAGACGACCGUCCGUGUUGGUGUCAUGUUCUUUGAAGAUAUUCUUCAGUUGCUCUUCAUUUAGAGGAAGGUUUAUGGAUUUUUUUGGCGCAUCGGGAAUUAGAGGCAUGUUGGCAAAGGGGUAGAGGUUUUGGAGCUUUGGAUAUAUGAAAGACGCGAGCUACUAUGAUCAAAAGGGUUAUACAACACAUCGAUUUAUACAGAAGUUCUUUGAUUACCAUACUUCCCCACUUUCUCCUUUAUGUUAUUGUCAUCAGUCAUCCCUCUUUUUCUUUCUUGAAUUUCCCUUUUAUAUUCUUAUACUCUUCCUUUUAUCGUAUGUAUGGGCCGGAUAACAUGCAUGGACAUUAUUAUUCCAACAACAUAUUGAUUGAAUUGCCAUGUAUUUAUUUUUUUAUUUAAUUAAUCAAUAUCUUGAAUCAUAGUAUAU